rnacentral:lncRNA from 1 species
ACGCACUUUCCUUCCUCCCGACUUAAAAGCUGAAGUGCUUCUCGUCUCGCCGUCUUUGCCGGAGCAGGCGAACCAGAGGGAGAGGUGGAGUCUAAAGAAGUAGCGUUCCAUCACUUUCAACUUGGUGACUGAAGUAAACAAAGUUCUUUAGGAGACAUGAGAGUUGCGCUGUGUCCCUGGAAAGCGGUGUAAGGAUGGGUGGACGCUGGGAAUCUCCCCCUUUUCCCGGUGCGAUCCUUUUUGUUGCUGAGUGCCCUCUGGAGGUUUCGGACACGCAGCGACCUGGGCUAUCGAGGCUGUGUCUGAGCUUUUCAGGACUCCUUGCUUCAAAGUUCUCGUUGGGGCUAAAGGGAAACUGCUAAAAUACCCUUUGAGCCUCUUCUUGCAAGAUAUAUCAGAGAUCUCAGGGGAAGCCUGUUAUCCUUAUUCUUCCAGCCAAGUUCUGUAGCCAGAGGAACUCUGGAUAACUUCAGUAAGUAUAGGAACUUUUGGGUGCUCAUUUUUGGUUUUCUUGUAAUCUCUAAAUUCUCCACUUUUGUCUACACUUAUUCCCCUAAGUGUAUCAGUUAAAAUAAAUGCCUGCAGUUGCCCUGACCA